rnacentral:rRNA from 1 species
UACAGAGGGUGCAAGCGUUGUUCGGAAUUACUGGGCGUAAAGAGCGUGUAGGCGGUCUAGAAAGUCAGAUGUGAAAUCCCCGGGCUUAACCCGGGACGUGCAUUUGAAACUCCUAGGCUAGAGUGUGGUAGAGGAUAGUGGAAUACCUAGUGUAGUGGUGAAAUACGUAGAUAUUAGGUAGAACACCGGUGGCGAAGGCGGCUAUCUGGGCCACAACUGACGCUGAGACGCGAAAGCGUGGGGAGCAAACAGG